CAGAAUGGCCUGGCACGGUGACCACGGAGUGCCCUGGCACCGGUGCCCGCGGCUGUGACGGAAAAAGGGUGGGAAGAACAGGGAAGAGGAAGCAGAAACAGGUUAUCUGUUCACUCUGAUGGUAGAGAAGACCUUAAAUGACCUGAUGGAGCUGAAAACCAUGGCGAGAACUUCCUGCCUUCGAUUUCUCACAAGCUCGGGCAUACCACGAGGCUUGGAGACUCAAAACCUGAAGAGCCUGCAAUCAGAUUUCUCCCUUACUAUUCCUGCUCAUUGUCUUCUGUGGACUAAUACUGAACAUGAAACUCAGAUGGUUUCCAGAGUUAGUUCCUUACAAGCAUUUCCUCUUGAAACAUCGGGAAUCUAAAUAAAGGGAAAGGUGUCUAAUGGUCUAGUCUACCAACCACUCCUUGAUGAAAUAAGUAAGAAAGCUUGUCAAGAGCCAUCACUCUUGCUCAUGGGACAAGAGAAGGCACUGACCUGUGCCCACCAGCACCCCAUCACUGAGCCAACACCACCUUCAGGAAGACAGUCUCCAGCAGGGCUUCCCCCAAUUCCCCUAGCUGCUUUGCCUCUGCUACUCCGGUAAGCACCUGCAGGGAGGCAGGCACCCCAGCACCCACUAGCAUUCUGCAACAGCUGUUGCACCUUGGCUCCCCCAGUACAGUGGAUUCCAAACCUCAAGGAGUCAAAGAACAGAUGGGGCCCAAUACAAAUUCCCCAGAAUUACAACAUGCCGUCCAGGAGUUGAGAGCUGAGUGUUGACCUUCUAAAAUCUCCCAGAAACAAAGCCAGGUGGCUGAAUCCACCUUAUAUUAUAGUCAAACCCUCAAGGUCAUCAAAUCAUCAAAUAGGAUAAAAGAAAAAAAAAUCCAAAGGUCAGCAACAUCCAAGAUUGAAGACAGAUAAGCUCACAAAGAUGAGAAAGAGUCAGCACAGGAAAACUGAAAACUCGAAAAACCAGAGUGCCCUCUUUCCUACGAACAGCCACAUCACCUCUCCAGCAAAGGUUCUGAACUGAGCUGAGAUGGCCAAAAUGACAGAAAUAGAAUUCAGAAUAUGGAUAAGAAUGA
rnacentral:lncRNA from 10 species